rnacentral:lncRNA from 1 species
GGAACAAUGUGUAUUGUUGUAUUAUAUGUAAAUAAUUUCUAUAAAUAAGUUAUUAGUUUUAGUUAACUUAGAAUAAGUAGUAUUAGCACUAAGAUUCAAAUUUCUUGUAAUAGUUUGUUCAACAUUUAUUGUACUGAAUUUAUUGUAAAACCCCCAAACUACCCUUGCCCAAAUUUUCCUGCUAAGAAUUCCUUAGAGUAGAUUUAGUAAAUUGGUAACUAUAAUAUAAAUAUGUGACCUUGGGAAGGUCACAACAAAAAAAGGGGACGAUUGUGGAAAGGAAACAAGACUGACAGUUUGUGUGAGGGAAGGGCCAACUGGGAGUGGCAGUUGGGUCUUGUGACUAGCACUUCCUUCCUGCCGGGGGAAGUGGGGGGGGGGGAACUUGCGUCCUGGUGUUGGAGGAGAGAAGAGCUUGGUCAGCCCAGGCUGGAGUGGCAUGCUCUUCUUGGUUCAGCCCAAAGACACAGGCUUCUGAAGGUAGCUCAAUGGAGAGAGUGCUACUGAAUCUGGAAUCAGAAGGAUCUGAGUUCAAAUCCAGUCUCAGAUAUUUACUAGCUGCAUGACCAUGGAAUAUUCAGUCUUGUGAUGGAAUGUUGGCAUGGAAUGGUGUUGAAAUAAAGGAAAAGGCUGAAGAGAGGACUAAGGAAGAUUUCAAAUGGAAAAUGCUGCCUUGUGGAUCACCAAGCUCCCGAAUAAUACUAAGAAGAAGGAAAAAAAAAGUUAGCUAAGGACUAAGACAGAGAGAGCUGAUACAUUUUCAAGGAGGACUGGCCUGCUGCACUUGUGAGCGAUGAUAGAUCUGUGCGAAAUAUAAUCCUGAUUAAAAAUGCAUGUGUGAAACCCCUUCGAAUAAAGCGGUGUUUGACAGCA